UCGGCUAUAUAAACGUUUGAGGACCAAAGACAUAUAUCAAUUUUUUGAGUGACAUACGAUUCCUUCUUUUUCUUUGCGCAUGUCACACAACGAUGCCCACUAGCUAGCGUUCUUGAACUAGUUGUUCUCUAUAAGGGAUGAAGCUCGCACAUCUAGGUAGUAAGCACCCCAUGAUGACGCUCAAGCAUGUCCAUCACUGUCGUGGAAUGACCGGCAUCAGGAAGCAUGUGAAGGGCAGAUCUUUACAUUUCAGUGAUAACGAUGCAUGUGAUCCUUCAUCAUACUAUGGCGCACAUAGCCCGACGUGAUACAUAGCGCUACAGAACUAUGGAAUGGAGAGAGGCAGCGAGCAGAUUGUGCGGAAGAUCAAGCUUUCAUCACAACCUCGCUGAAAAGAAGGAGGUGUAGACGCUAUAGUUUGUGGCCACAGUGCACAACUAGAGGCCCAUUGGAGAGAAAAAUUGUUACCACAGAUCCAAGUCUAUGUUGAAUUUAGAGAUUGUGCAUGUCAUUAGAUGAUAACGAGUUUCAAACAAAACCAAGAGUAGUUCAAAUUAGAGCUUGAUGAUAGAUAGAUGGGUCUUAUUAGUUUGUAGUUGAGAUGGUCUUUCGCAUAAUAAAUAUAUACAUCGAAUGUGGCACAAUCCUACUACUAGGGUUGUUGAAAUAUUGUAAAAGAUGGUGGAUAUUAUUGUGUCAUGUUUCAAUAUGGGUCCUAUAUUUUUGUUAGCCCACUCGACAACAACUAAAUCAAAAAAGCCCCAUUUACGAAACAAAGAGUGCUCAGAAGAAACAAACUAUCCU
rnacentral:lncRNA from 1 species